rnacentral:rRNA from 1 species
GCUAAUCCGCCCUGGGUAAGUCGGGACCUAAGACGAGGCCGACAGGCGUAGUCGAUGGACAACGGGUUGAUAUUCCCGUACCGGCAUUAACACGACCCUGACGAACCGGGUAAUGCUAAGCGCCUGAAACUUCGGAUUCCUUCGGGAUGAAGAAGCGGAGCGCGCGAACCGAACCAGUAGUAGUCAAGCAAUGGGGUGACGCAGGAAGGUAACCCAACCCAGGCGAUGGUUGACCUGGGGUAAGGAUGUAGGGCGAGAUGUAGGCAAAUCCGCAUCUCACGUGCCUGAGAUCUGACGCCGAGCCGAUUCAGGUGAAGUGGGUAAUCCUAUGCUGCCAAGAAAAGCCUCUAGCGAGUGUUAAAGCCGCCCGUACCCCAAACCGACACAGGUGGUCAGGUAGAGAAUACUAAGGCGAUCGAGAUAACUAUGGUUAAGGAACUCGGCAAAAUGCCCCCGUAACUUCGGGAGAAGGGGGGCCCGUUCUGGUGAGGAGAUUUACUCUCCGAGCUGGGAUUGGCCGCAGAGACCAGGCCCAAGCGACUGUUUACUAAAAACACAGGUCCAUGCUAAGUCGCAAGACGCUGUAUAUGGACUGACGCCUGCCCGGUGCUGGAACGUUAAGGGGACGGGUUAGCGACUUCGGUCGCGAAGCUCAGAACUUAAGCGCCAGUAAACGGCGGUGGUAACUAUAACCAUCCUAAGGUAGCGAAAUUCCUUGUCGGGUAAGUUCCGACCUGCACGAAUGGCGUAACGACUUGGGCGCUGUCUCAACCGUAGACUCGGCGAAAUUGCACUACGAGUAAAGAUGCUCGUUACGCGCGGCAGGACGAAAAGACCCCGGGACCUUUACUACAGCUUGGUAUUGGUGGUCGAUUCGAUUUGUGUAGGAUAGGUGGGAGACUGUGAACUUCGGACGCCAGUUCGAAGGGAGUCAUCGUUGAAAUACCACUCUGAUCGUAUUGGCUGUCUAACCUAGAUCCGUAAUCCGGAUCAGGGACAGUGCCUGGUGGGUAGUUUAACUGGGGCGGUUGCCUCCUAAAAUGUAACGGAGGCGCUCAAAGGUUCCCUCAGCCUGGUUGGCAAUCAGGUAUCGAGUGUAAGUGCACAAGGGAGCUUGACUGUGAGACUGACGGGUCGAGCAGGGACGAAAGUCGGAACUAGUGAUCCGGCGCUGGCAAGUGGAAGCGGCGUCGCUCAACGGAUAAAAGGUACCCCGGGGAUAACAGGCUGAUCUUGCCCAAGAGUCCAUAUCGACGGCAUGGUUUGGCACCUCGAUGUCGGCUCGUCGCAUCCUGGGGCUGGAGUAGGUCCCAAGGGUUGGGCUGUUCGCCCAUUAAAGCGGCACGCGAGCUGGGUUUAGAACGUCGUGAGACAGUUCGGUCCCUAUCCGCCGCGCGCGUAAGAGUCUUGAGAAGAUCUGUCCCUAGUACGAGAGGACCGGGAUGGACGAACCUCUGGUGUGUCAGUUGUCCUGCCAAGGGCACUGCUGAUUAGCUACGUUCGGAAGAGAUAACCGCUGAAAGCAUCUAAGCGGGAAACUCGCUUCAAGAUGAGGGCUCUCACAGGGUUAACCUGGUAAGGCCCCCAGUAGACCACUGGGUUGAUAGGCCGGAAGUGGAAGUGCGGUAACGCAUGCAGCUGACCGGUACUAAUAGGCCGAGGACUUGACCU